rnacentral:tRNA from 1 species
GGUUCUGGCUCAGUGGUAGAGCGUUUGCCUAGCAUGCAUGAGGCACUGGGUUGGAUUCUCAGCACCA